AUAAAACACUAGAUAGAUGAUGGAAACUCUAAUUCAUCCGGCAUUUAAGAAGUCAACUCAAAGCAAACCCCAAUGUCCAAGAAUAACUCACAGUCGCAGAGAUAAUAACAAAUACCAGUUACUAGAAACACCAAUAACCCUUCAUGAUUCUUCACUUUUCACCUGGCUAUCUGCCCUUCCCAUGAAUUAGAAUCCAUUUUCAUUGGCUGUUUUCAAUCAUUCACUUCCAUCAUGUAGGGAAGGAGAUAACGAAAAAAAACCCUAGCUGAGAUAAAUGCUGAUAGUGACAGAAAAUAUGGGCCAGAUGUUAGGUAUUCAUCAAUGGCAUUUUACAAGAUAAAUGAUUUCAGCCUUUCUUCAGAGUUCGCAAGAUAAAUGUCAGGUAUUCAUUAAUGACAUUUUACAAAAAACCCUAGCUGAGAUAAAUGCUGGCAGUGGCAGAAAAUAUGGCUGCUUCCUUUAUUGUAGGCAUUUGGAGUAAGCAGGUGUCGCUUUCUAUUUUCUCAUUAUAGAUGUUAGGUAUUCAUCAAUGGCAUUUUACAAGAUAAAUGUUCAGUUUUUCUU